rnacentral:rRNA from 1 species
AGACCCGAAACCCGGUGAUCUAGCCAUGGGCAGGUUGAAGGUUGGGUAACACUAACUGGAGGACCGAACCGACUAAUGUUGAAAAAUUAGCGGAUGACCUGUGGCUGGGGGUGAAAGGCCAAUCAAACCGGGAGAUAGCUGGUUCUCCCCGAAAGCUAUUUAGGUAGCGCCUCGUGAAUUCAUCUCCGGGGGUAGAGCACUGUUUCGGCUAGGGGGCCAUCCCGGCUUACCAACCCGAUGCAAACUGCGAAUACCGGAGAAUGUUAUCACGGGAGACACACGGCGGGUGCUAACGUCCGUCGUGAAGAGGGAAACAACCCAGACCGCCAGCUAAGGUCCCAAAGUCAUGGUUAAGUGGGAAACGAUGUGGGAAGGCCCAGACAGCCAGGAUGUUGGCUUAGAAGCAGCCAUCAUUUAAAGAAAGCGUAAUAGCUCACUGGUCGAGUCGGCCUGCGCGGAAGAUGUAACGGGGCUAAACCAUGCACCGAAGCUGCGGCAGCGAACGUAUCACUUAAAGCGAUUCAGCGGGUUACGAUUGACGGAGCGAAGCGACGUCAAAGCGUAUACAAAGUCGAGUCGGUUUAAGGAUACGUUCGUUGGGUAGGGGAGCGUUCUGUAAGCCUGUGAAGGUGUGUCGUGAGGCAUGCUGGAGGUAUCAGAAGUGCGAAUGCUGACAUAAGUAACGAUAAAGCGGGUGAAAAGCCCGCUCGCCGGAAGACCAAGGGUUCCUGUCCA